UAGUCCACGCCGUAAACGAUGGAAGCCAGCUGUCGGGAUGUAUACAUCUCGGUGGCGCAGCUAACGCAUUAAGCUUCCCGCCUGGGGAGUACGGUCGCAAGAUUAAAACUCAAAGGAAUUGACGGGAACCCGCACAAGCGGUGGAGCAUGUGGUUUAAUUCGAUGCAACGCGAAGAACCUUACCAGGUCUUGACAUACUCAUUGUACGACGUAGAGAUACGUUGGUCAGUUCGGCUGGAUGAGAUACAGGUGCUGCAUGGCUGUCGUCAGCUCGUGUCGUGAGAUGUUGGGUUAAGUCCCGCAACGAGCGCAACCCUCGCCGUUAGUUGCCAGCACUUCGGGUGGGAACUCUAACGGGACUGCCUGUGAAAGCAGGAGGAAGGCGAGGAUGACGUCUAGUCAGCAUGGUCCUUACGAUCUGGGCUACACACGUGCUACAAUGGCAGGUACAAAGCGCAGCCACUUCGCGAGAAGGAGCUAAUCGCA
rnacentral:rRNA from 1 species